GAGAAAUUAAAUUAAAAUCUAGAGAAGAAAAAUUAAUGUUAAGAAGACAGAUUAGUUCUUGGUACUGGGCAACUUGUUCUUGUUCCUGUGCACAAUGGUUUGUGCUCUUACUCUUGUUUGAUUAAAAUUAAUAACAAGUCAACCACUUGCCGUAACCAUGGCACCGGUUCCAGUCAGUAAGUCAAGAAAGAAUAGUCAAGGUAUAGGCCAAUAGUUUGGGACAUUUCUAACUAUUAUUAAAAGUUAACUAAGCAGAAACAGCUCAAAGCAAAACUCGAACUGAAAGUACAAAUGCUUGCUUAUGCAUAAGCCAAGAUACAUUCUUCUAUUCUAAUUGUAGCUACGUAGUAUUUUGUUUCUUUGAAUAAUGAUUCCUGUUUUGGAA
rnacentral:lncRNA from 1 species